GACGAACGCUGGCGGCGUGCUUAACACAUGCAAGUCGAACGGUAAGGCCCUUCGGGGUACACGAGUGGCGAACGGGUGAGUAACACGUGGGUGAUCUGCCCUGCACUUCGGGAUAAGCCUGGGAAACUGGGUCUAAUACCGGAUAGGACCACUGCCUGCAUGGGUGGUGGUGGAAAGCUUUUGCGGUGUGGGAGGGGCCCGCGGCCUAUCAGCUUGUUGGUGGGGUGAUGGCCUACCAAGGCGACGACGGGGAGCCGGCCUGAGAGGGGGACCGGCCAAACUGGGACGGAGAUACGGCCCAGACUCCUACGGGAGGCAGCAGUGGGGAAUAUUGCACAAUGGGCGCAAGCCUGAUGCAGCGACGCCGCGUGAGGGAUGACGGCCUUCGGGUUGUAAACCUCUUUCAGCACCGACGAAGCGCAAGUGACGGUAGGCGCAGAAGAAGGACCGGCCAACUACGUGCCAGCCGCCGCGGUAA
rnacentral:rRNA from 1 species